GGAGAGAUGGCUCAGUGGUGAAGAGUACUAGCUCUUCCAGAUGACUGUGGGUUCAGACUCCCACUUCUCCU
rnacentral:tRNA from 1 species